rnacentral:rRNA from 1 species
UUGAGAGGAGCUGUCCUUAGUACGAGAGGACCGGGAUGGACACACCGCUGGUGUACCAGUUGUUCCGCCAGGAGCAUCGCUGGGUAGCUAUGUGUGGCAGGGAUAAACGCUGAAAGCAUCUAAGCGUGAAGCCCCCCUCAAGAUGAGAUUUCCCAUUUCUUCGGAAAGUAAGAUCCCUGAAAGAUGAUCAGGUAGAUAGGUUUGGAGUGGAAGUGUAGCGAUACAUGGAGCGGACAAAUACUAAUCGAUCGAGGACUUAACCAA